UUACAAAUUGUUAAGUAUUGAUGAAUAAUA
rnacentral:piRNA from 1 species